CCUACGGGGGGCAGCAGUGGGGAAUAUUGCACAAUGGGGGAAACCCUGAUGCAGCGACGCCGCGUGAGUGAAGAAGUAAUUCGUUAUGUAAAGCUCUAUCAGCAGGGAAGAAAAUGACGGUACCUGAGUAAGAAGCCCCGGCUAACUACGUGCCAGCAGCCGCGGUAAUACGUAGGGGGCAAGCGUUAUCCGGAUUUACUGGGUGUAAAGGGAGCGUAGACGGCAGUGCAAGUCUGGAGUGAAAGGCGGGGGCUCAACCCCCGGACUGCUCUGGAAACUGUACGGCUGGAGUGCAGGAGAGGGAAGGGGAAUUCCUAGGGUAGCGGGGGAAUGCGGAGAUAUUAGGGGGGACACCAGGGGCGAAGGCAGCAUACCGGCGGCGAGCUGACGCUGAGGCACGGAAGGGUGGGUAUCGAACAGGAUUUGAUACCCUA
rnacentral:rRNA from 1 species